CAUGUACUCCCUCCGUCCAGAAAUAUUUGUCAUUGAAAUGGAUGUAUCUAGAUGUAUUUUAGUUUUAGAUACAUCCAUUUUCAUCCAUUUUGAUGACAAGUAUUUCCGGACGGAGGGAGUACUUA
rnacentral:pre_miRNA from 1 species